GACAAACUCACUGAUGAAGGACUCAAGCAGCUGGGCUCAAAAUGCAGAGAACUCAAAGAUAUUCAUUUCGGCCAGUGUUACAAGAUCUCAGAUGAAGGCAUGAUCGUCAUAGCUAAGGGCUGUCUGAAAUUACAAAGGAUAUACAUGCAGGAAAACAAAUUAGUGACAGAUCAGUCAGUGAAAGCAUUUGCUGAACACUGUCCUGAGCUUCAAUAUGUAGGCUUCAUGGGUUGUUCAGUCACUUCUAAAGGAGUCAUUCACCUAACCAAGCUAAGAAACCUUUCCAGCUUGGACCUACGUCAUAUCACUGAACUGGAUAAUGAAACCGUGAUGGAAAUUGUCAAGAGGUGCAAAAAUCUUAGCUCUCUCAAUCUCUGUCUGAACUGGAUCAUAAAUGACAGGUGUGUGGAGGUCAUUGCAAAGGAAGGACAAAACCUGAAAGAGCUAUAUUUGGUGUCCUGUAAAAUCACAGAUUAUGGUAGGUAAUGAACCAUUUUCCUAAUCUUUUCUAAGAAUAAAAAGUUACAAAAUCAUUGAAAGUUCUUAAAAAGAAAUCAAGAACUAUAUCACAGAGACUGUCUAUCGUCAUUUAUGCUCGUUGUGA
rnacentral:sRNA from 1 species